ACUUCUUGUGGUUUCAUUUCGCUGAGAUUGAUUCGACAGUGACGAAGAAGGGGCAGAGAGUUUUUGAUGUGUUGGUGAAUGACAAAAACGUUAGUAGAGUUGAUAUUUAUGCGCAGGUUGGGAGCUUCGCGGCCUAUAGNNNNNNNCUUACAGUAUAUGGUGCACAAUCUGAGCAGUACUGCAUUGACUGUGAAGUUAAUGCCGGUAACGGGGGCGCCACUGAUUAGUGGAAUUGAAAAUUAUGCUCUGGUUUCGAACG
rnacentral:misc_RNA from 1 species